ensembl:snRNA Gm22259 predicted gene, 22259
GUGCUCAUUUCAGCAGGACAUAUACUAAAAUUAGAAUGCUACAGAGAAGAUUAGCAUGGCCCCUGAGCAAGGAUGACACGAAAAUUAGUGAAGUGUUCCAUAUUUUU